AACGAACGCUGGCGGCAGGCUUAACACAUGCAAGUCGAGCGCCCCGCAAGGGGAGCGGCAGACGGGUGAGUAACGCGUGGGAACGUACCUUUUGGUUCGGAACAACUCCGGGAAACUGGAGCUAAUACCGGAUAAGCCCUAACGGGGAAAGAUUUAUCGCCGAAAGAUCGGCCCGCGUCUGAUUAGCUAGUUGGUGAGGUAACGGCUCACCAAGGCGACGAUCAGUAGCUGGUCUGAGAGGAUGAUCAGCCACACUGGGACUGAGACACGGCCCAGACUCCUACGGGAGGCAGCAGUGGGGAAUAUUGGACAAUGGGCGCAAGCCUGGUCCAGCCAUGCCGCGUGAGUGAUGAAGGCCUUAGGGUUGUAAAGCUCUUUUGUCCGGGAAGAUAAUGACUGUACCGGAAGAAUAAGCCCCGGCUAACUUCGUG
rnacentral:rRNA from 1 species